AAGCACAUAUUAGUACUAAACAAAUACAUCAAAGGAAUGGUUUCCAUUCUAAAGGUUUGUAAGCCACGUUCCCCUCGCUUUCUCUUCUAGGUGGUUGUGAAUGCUCUUGUUGGAGCAAUUCCCUCUAUCAUGAAUGUGCUGUUGGUCUGUCUCAUCUUCUGGCUGAUCUUUAGCAUCAUGGGUGUGAAUUUGUUUGCUGGCAAGUUCUACCACUGUGUUAACAUGACAACGGGUAACAUGUUUGACGUUAGUGAUGUCAACAAUUUGAGUGACUGUCAGGCUCUUGGCAAGCAAGCUCGGUGGAAAAACGUGAAAGUAAACUUUGAUAAUGUUGGCGCUGGCUAUCUUGCACUGCUUCAAGUGGCCACAUUUAAAGGCUGGAUGGAUAUUAUGUAUGCAGCUGUUGAUUCACGAGAUGUUAAACUUCAGCCUGUGUAUGAAGAAAAUCUGUACAUGUAUUUAUACUUUGUCAUCUUUAUCAUCUUUGGGUCAUUCUUCACUCUGAAUCUAUUCAUUGGUGUCAUCAUAGAUAACUUCAACCAGCAGAAAAAGAAG
rnacentral:sRNA from 1 species